rnacentral:lncRNA from 1 species
AGGUAUAAAGAAUCUAAGCUACUAAAUAUAUUCCUGUCUGAGAUCAGAUUAUUUGUUUGAUAUGUUGAUGAUAUGCAAGAAAAGGUUUGCCAUCAUUGCACUACGGCUUAUUCUGACAAUAGAACAUAGUAGUAAUGCAGCCUUCCAUUUUUUAGAUGUGCAUGUAGAGACAGACAGAAGUGAUUAUAUUACUACCAUAUAUAGGAACCCUACCUAUGUGCCUGUUCUGAUACCAGCAUUGUCACAAGAUCCUAUGCCAUAUAAAUUAGCCGCAUUUAGGACAAUGUUUCGAAGAAUAUUGCCCUAAAUGCUCACACCACUAAGUAGCAAGAUAGAUUAAAGAACUGUCAAAUGUUUAUGCACAAGGGUGCAAGUAUGGAUAUAGUAACAGGGUUAUGGAAGGUUUACGGAAGAAAAUACGAAAAUCUAUGGAGAAACCUCCCCUGCUAAGACCCCAAGAUCGGCAUACCUAUAAUAUACACCCUAUGUCUCAGAUUACAUAUUAUAAGAGUACUGAUAAGAUCUUGAACAGGGCCAUAAAAGAUGGGGACUGUA